CCUACGGUUGGCUGCAGUGAGGAAUAUUGGUCAAUGGACGCAAGUCUGAACCAGCCAUGCCGCGUGCAGGAAGACGGCUCUAUGAGUUGUAAACUGCUUUUGUACGAGGGUAAACGCAGAUACGCGUAUCUGUCUGAAAGUAUCGUACGAAUAAGGAUCGGCUAACUCCGUGCCAGCAGCCGCGGUAAUACGGAGGAUUCAAGCGUUAUCCGGAUUUAUUGGGUUUAAAGGGUGCGUAGGCGGUCGGAUAAGUUAGAGGUGAAAUCCCGGGGCUCAACUCCGGCACUGCCUCUGAUACUGUCGGGCUAGAGUUUAGUUGCGGUAGGCGGAAUGUAUGGUGUAGCGGUGAAAUGCAUAGAGAUCAUACAGAACACCGAUUGCGAAGGCAGCUUACCAAACUACGACUGACGUUGAGGCACGAAAGCGUGGGGAGCAAACAGGAUUAGAUACCCUUGUAGUC
rnacentral:rRNA from 1 species